UGGCCAAAAACAUUUCCAACAGAUCUGGGCUUACCCUGAGCUCCUCCGGUAGCUCGGCAAAGUUCUCUCGGAAAAAUUUGUCAAGUGUCAAUCCCUACACGCUCCGUCCAUUAACGUAACGAGUAACUAUUGCACUUACGAAGCAAGUGGUUUGUGCCGUUUCCACCUCGUCUUCUUCACUAAAAAAUUGACAUAUACCUGCAAUAUCCACAGUGUGCAUUAGUGCCGACUGCGUUCUCUCCUCGGUCACAAGAUGUGUUCGGGCUUCGUCGCGUCCGCCAAUUCGGUGAAAGUCUUGUGGUUGUAGUUGCUGGCAUUAUUCCUCAUCUUGCUUUGGAACGCUACCAAUAUAUGCGCGUAUUCGUGGAGAAGCCUUAUUUUGUAACUCUUCCCAAAUUUUUGCUGGCGUUUCAGUCAAAUACCACUGCUUUCACGUCUAGGCCAUCGAAGACUUCUUUGUGCGACGUUAAUGGAUAAUAACUUAAGAGAAACUUGAACGCGGUCAACAGAUUUCGCGCUGCCACGAGGACUGUUCGGUAAUCGUUCGCGCUGCUGUUGCUGUAUUUACGUCCAGCUAUUCUAUCCUCCGAAGAGUUGAAAUGAGCCAUACCAUUGGUGUACACUUCACCGAAAUGUAUCUGCACUACUCUAUCGUGGCCGCUUACCUUCUCCACGGCUUUCUUCAACUUUACCUUGCGCUGGUUCCAUGAUGAUUUGUUACGCUUGUACGCUGACAUCCCGUCUCCAUGUGGCGGGGUUUUUCUUUAAGGUUUCAGCAGAUGUUG